ACCGCUUCGAGAUAAAGAUGAUUAACAUCUUCUUUCACUUCUCUGAAAUAUCCUUAGACUCGAAGACCAUCUACACCACCUCCUCUCUAACAAUAGACUAAUACCGGUAGAAAAGGAGUAGGAGAAAGCCAUUCGAUCCUAGGGCCUUAUUCGAUCCAAGAGACUAAAGAACCCCCCGCAUCUUCUCGACCGACAUCGGACAGAUCAGAGCCUCAUUCUCU
rnacentral:lncRNA from 1 species